rnacentral:rRNA from 1 species
UACGGAGGGAGCUAGCGUUGUUCGGAAUUACUGGGCGUAAAGCGCACGUAGGCGGCUUUUUAAGUCAGGGGUGAAAUCCCGGGGCUCAACCCCGGAACUGCCCUUGAAACUGGAGAGCUAGAAUCUUGGAGAGGCGAGUGGAAUUCCGAGUGUAGAGGUGAAAUUCGUAGAUAUUCGGAGGAAUACCAGUGGCGUAAGCGGCUAACUGGACAGUAACUGACGCUGAGACACGAAAGCGUGGGGAUCAAACAGGG